AGUCUUAACCGGGCGUUAAGUUGCAGGGUAUAGACCCGAAACCCGGUGAUCUAGCCAUGGGCAGGUUGAAGGUUGGGUAACACUAACUGGAGGACCGAACCGACUAAUGUUGAAAAAUUAGCGGAUGACCUGUGGCUGGGGGUGAAAGGCCAAUCAAACCGGGAGAUAGCUGGUUCUCCCCGAAAGCUAUUUAGGUAGCGCCUCGUGAACUCAUCUCCGGGGGUAGAGCACUGUUUCGGCUAGGGGGCCAUCCCGGCUUACCAACCCGAUGCAAACUGCGAAUACCGGAGAAUGUUAUCACGGGAGACACACGGCGGGUGCUAACGUCCGUCGUGAAGAGGGAAACAACCCAGACCGCCAGCUAAGGUCCCAAAGUCAUGGUUAAGUGGGAAACGAUGUGGGAAGGCCCAGACAGCCAGGAUGUUGGCUUAGAAGCAGCCAUCAUUUAAAGAAAGCGUAAUAGCUCACUGGUCGAGUCGGCCUGCGCGGAAGAUGUAACGGGGCUAAACCAUGCACCGAAGCUGCGGCAGCGACACUCAGGUGUUGUUGGGUAGGGGAGCGUUCUGUAAGCCUGUGAAGGUGUGUCGUGAGGCAUGCUGGAGGUAUCAGAAGUGCGAAUGCUGACAUAAGUAACGAUAAAGCGGGUGAAAAGCCCGCUCGCCGGAAGACCAAGGGUUCCUGUCCAACGUUAAUCGGGGCAGGGUGAGUCGACCCCUAAGGCGAGGCCGAAAGGCGUAGUCGAUGGGAAACGGGUUAAUAUUCCCGUACUUGGUGUUACUGCGAAGGGGGGACGGAGAAGGCUAUGUUGGCCGGGCGACGGUUGUCCCGGUUUAAGCGGGUAGGUGUGUGUUCCAGGUAAAUCCGGUCCACUUUAACACUGAGGCGUGAUGACGAGGCACUACGGUGCUGAAGCAACAAAUGCCCUGCUUCCAGGAAAAGCCUCUAAGCAUCAGGUAACAUCAAAUCGUACCCCAAACCGACACAGGUGGUCAGGUAGAGAAUACCAAGGCGCUUGAGAGAACUCGGGUGAAGGAACUAGGCAAAAUGGUGCCGUAACUUCGGGAGAAGGCACGCUGACACGUAGGUGAAGUGAUUUACUCA
rnacentral:rRNA from 1 species